rnacentral:snRNA from 1 species
GUUACUAUCUACCCCACCACCACCAAGAACAUCAACUAAAAUUGGAGUGAUAUCAGAGAAGAUUAGCAUGGCCCUUGCACAAAGAUGACAUGCAGAUUCAUGAAACUUAAAUAUUUUAA